rnacentral:misc_RNA from 1 species
GCGGGAUGGCCGCAGUGUAAUGAAAGUUAAAAAAUUUUCCCCUUUUUCUUAAAGGCAACACUGGUUUUAGGCGUGGCUACGUAGGUGACGGAAAGGGCUCAAAGGAAAGGAUUUGCCUGAUAAAAGUGGACUCUUACCAAUAGACAACCCAGUAUCUGAGGUCCCAACGAACACUGUACACACAACUGUUUAUAGUUGUAGUCAAUAUAUCCCAGAAGGAAU